GAAUUUCAAACACUUUUUGUCUCUUGCGAAAAUCGUCUACAACGUACUGUUGAUGAUAUAAUAGACCUUUUGCGCUAAUUUUAAUCCAAAUAGGGACUUGGAAAAAAUUUGAUCGAUUUCUAAGUUUCCCAAAAAUGUUCAAAAAAGCAGUCUUUUAUCACUUAUUCGGCUACAGAAGUAGAUUUCCAGCACUUCUUCUCAAUGCAAAAAUCCCAUCAGACGGGCCGUUGACGGGCUACUAACGUUUAAAAUUUUAAAUAAUUGGUAAUUGAUGAUGGAAAAUUUUGAAAAAAAUAAUUAACGAUUCUGUUCAUGUUAUAAACAUUGUCCUAGAAUUUCAAAUGUUUCCAACCAAAAUUGAGAAAGUUAUAUCAUUUUUUCAAAUUAGAUUCCAGUUUGUGCUAAAAAUCAUGUCACACACCAAGCCUAUGAAAUAAUUUUCAAGUUUCAAAUUCAAAUAAUAAUAAACUAGGUACUAUUUUAUUGAUUCCAACAUUAUUUCAGUGAAAGCACAAAUGUCCACCAUAAAGAAAUCAUUAAUCCAUCCCAGAAAUAUGGACUGUUAUCUGUUUUAAUGUUAACAAUAAAGAUUGUCUAUAUCAAUAACUUUGAAACUCCCGGGGUGAUUUGUGCUUGUGCACUACUGCGCUUGAGCGACAGCCAUUAAAGAUGUCCUCGGCCUGUCUUCUUUAGUUUUCAGUAGUUGAAGGUGAAGUAUUGCAGUAUUGGUUCGUUGUUUGUUUAUCCUUUAUUUUAUCGCGUCAUCAAGUUGAUGAUGAUUUUUGAUUGCUGAAGGUCUUAAAUUAAGACGAAGGUGGGAAUAGAACUGCAGAUACAUAUUAUACUAAAAUCCACCAUGACAGAUGAAUAUGAUGCCAAGGAUUAGAUUUGAAAAAAGUUCUUCUCCUCUCUACAUUUGAUGAAAGCCAUUUUCAGCAAAGGUGGGAAUAGAACUGCAGACGCAUAUACCAAAAUCCAAUAUGACAGACGAAUAUGCUGCCAACUACAGUUUUAGAUUUAAAACUCCUUUCUACAUCUGAUGGAAACCAUUUUCAGACCAAGAGCAGAGAGACUACGCCUCAUGAAGCUCAAAUCGAGGACGAUAGCAGUUCAAAGUAAAAAUAUAUAAUUAGUAAUAAAUUGAAAGUUCAAUUUUUGUAAUAUUUAAUAAAAAUCAUUGAAUUUUAUUGAAAA